rfam:Cajanus cajan Scaffold133506_7, whole genome shotgun sequence.
UAUCAUCUGACGAGAAAACAACUGUAACAUUAUGAUUGAAUUUUUUCCAUGAUUCCUUGUAUUUGAGUAUAUAUGAUGAUA